UGGGGAAUAUUGGACAAUGGGCGCAAGCCUGAUCCAGCCAUGCCGCGUGAGUGAUGAAGGCCCUAGGGUUGUAAAGCUCUUUCACCGGUGAAGAUAAUGACGGUAACCGGAGAAGAAGCCCCGGCUAACUUCGUGCCAGCAGCCGCGGUAAUACGAAGGGGGCUAGCGUUGUUCGGAUUUACUGGGCGUAAAGCGCACGUAGGCGGACUAUUAAGUCAGGGGUGAAAUCCCGGGGCUCAACCCCGGAACUGCCUUUGAUACUGGUAGUCUUGAGUUCGAGAGAGGUGAGUGGAAUUCCGAGUGUAGAGGUGAAAUUCGUAGAUAUUCGGAGGAACACCAGUGGCGAAGGCGGCUCACUGGCUCGAUACUGACGCUGUGGUGCGAAAGCGUGGGGAGCAAACAGG
rnacentral:rRNA from 1 species